AGAAACUUUGAUGAGAUGUACCAUUUCUCAUGCCAAUUUACUGCUGAUAUACUUGCCAUGAACCAUGUAGACUUUAUAAUCACCAGUACAUACCAAGAGAUUGCAGGAAGGUAAGUCCAUCCUUUAGCUUGUUAGAUAUCCUACUGAAUUUGCAUGCAAG